AGAAAGAUAAGCUAUUUAAGCUACUGGGUUCAUACCCCAUUGAUAGGUUCUCCUUCUUUCUA
rnacentral:tRNA from 1 species